rnacentral:rRNA from 1 species
GAUGUUCGCGCUACCAUGCAGUCGACGGUAGCACAGAGAGCUUGCUCUCGGGUGACGAGUGGCGGACGGGUGAGUAAUGUCUGGGAAACUGCCUGAUGGAGGGGGAUAACUACUGGAAACGGUAGCUAAUACCGCAUAACGUCGCAAGACCAAAGAGGGGGACCUUCGGGCCUCUUGCCAUCAGAUGUGCCCAGAUGGGAUUAGCUAGUAGGUGGGGUAACGGCUCACCUAGGCGACGAUCCCUAGCUGGUCUGAGAGGAUGACCAGCCACACUGGAACUGAGACACGGUCCAGACUCCUACGGGAGGCAGCAGUGGGGAAUAUUGCACAAUGGGCGCAAGCCUGAUGCAGCCAUGCCGCGUGUAUGAAGAAGGCCUUCGGGUUGUAAAGUACUUUCAGCGGGGAGGAAGGUGUUGUGGUUAAUAACCGCAGCAAUUGACGUUACCCGCAGAAGAAGCACCGGCUAACUCCGUGCCAGCAGCCGCGGUAAUACGGAGGGUGCAAGCGUUAAUCGGAAUUACUGGGCGUAAAGCGCACGCAGGCGGUCUGUCAAGUCGGAUGUGAAAUCCCCGGGCUCAACCUGGGAACUGCAUUCGAAACUGGCAGGCUAGAGUCUUGUAGAGGGGGGUAGAAUUCCAGGUGUAGCGGUGAAAUGCGUAGAGAUCUGGAGGAAUACCGGUGGCGAAGGCGGCCCCCUGGACAAAGACUGACGCUCAGGUGCGAAAGCGUGGGGAGCAAACAGGAUUAGAUACUCUGGUAGUCCACGCCGUAAACGAUGUCGACUUGGAGGUUGUGCCCUUGAGGCGUGGCUUCCGGAGCUAACGCGUUAAGUCGACCGCCUGGGGAGUACGGCCGCAAGGUUAAAACUCAAAUGAAUUGACGGGGCCCGCACAAGCGGUGGAGCAUGUGGUUUAAUUCGAUGCAACGCGAGAACCUUACCUACUCUUGACAUC